rnacentral:lncRNA from 1 species
CUAUCCCCAUUCUAUCCCCAUUCUAUCCCCAUUCUAUCCCCAUUCUAUCCCCAUUCUAUCCCCAUACUGUCCCCAUACUGUCCCCAUUCUAUCCCCAUUCUGUCCCCAUAUUGUCCCCAUAUUGUCCCCAUUCUAUCCCCAUUCUAUCCCCAUUCUAUCCCCAUACUGUCCCCAUUGCAGACCCACUCACUGCUCAUUCCCCGCAGUCAGAACAGCCGCCCCAUCACCGUGGCCGUCUCGGUCCCCGUGGAGGCGCACGCGGAGCUGGAGCUGCGGGGCAUGUCGCUGCCCGCCACCGCGCUGCUGCCCACCGAAUGGAGCCAGGAUGGGGACGACAACCAGACGGAGCAUCGCGGGGUGCGGGUGGAGCACGUCUACCAGCUGCACAAUAAGGGACCGGGCACCGUCACCAACGUCACCAUGAACAUCCGCGUCCCUGUCGUUGUCGGUGGCCGCGUGUGGAUCCACGUGGUGGAGAUCGGAACCGAGGGAGGGAUCGAGUGUGGGACGAACCCGGAACCGGACAAUCACUGUGGCAAUACCAGCUGCGUGGCGGUGCGGUGCCAUGCGGGGAUCAUGGCGCAGGGACAGCGCGUGUUGGUGGCCGUCCAUGUGCUGCUCCGGAUGGACCCCGAGCGGCAGGUAACGGCACCGCGGGGACACGGGGACACCAUGGGGUCACCACCAGCCCCAUAGUGUCCCCUUGGUGUCAUUCUGUGUCCCCAUCA